rnacentral:rRNA from 1 species
UACGUAGGGGGCAAGCGUUGUCCGGAAUCAUUGGGCGUAAAGCGCGUGUAGGCGGCUCGAUAAGUCUGCUGUGAAAGUCCAGGGCUCAACCCUGGAAUGCCGGUGGAAACUGUCGAGCUAGAGUCCGGAAGAGGCGAGUGGAAUUCCUGGUGUAGCGGUGAAAUGCGCAGAUAUCAGGAGGAACACCAAUGGCGAAGGCAGCUCGCUGGGACGGUACUGACGCUGAGACGCGAAAGCGUGGGGAUCAAACAGG